CGCUGGCGGCAGGCCUAACACAUGCAAGUCGAACGAAGUCUUCGGACUUAGUGGCGGACGGGUGAGUAACGCGUGGGAACAUACCCAAAGGUACGGAAUAGCCUCGGGAAACUGGGAGUAAUACCGUAUGUGCCCUUCGGGGGAAAGAUUUAUCGCCUUUGGAUUGGCCCGCGUUGGAUUAGGUAGUUGGUGGGGUAAUGGCCUACCAAGCCGACGAUCCAUAGCUGGUUUGAGAGGAUGAUCAGCCACACUGGGACUGAGACACGGCCCAGACUCCUACGGGAGGCAGCAGUGGGGAAUCUUAGACAAU
rnacentral:rRNA from 1 species